rnacentral:rRNA from 1 species
UACGGAGGGGGCUAGCGUUGUUCGGAAUUACUGGGCGUAAAGCGCGCGUAGGCGGACCUGCAAGUCGGGGGUGAAAGCCCGAGGCUCAACCUCGGAACUGCCUUCGAUACUGCGGGUCUCGAGUCCGGGAGAGGUGAGUGGAAUUCCUAGUGUAGAGGUGAAAUUCGUAGAUAUUAGGAAGAACACCAGUGGCGAAGGCGGCUCACUGGCCCGGUACUGACGCUGAGGCGCGAAGGCGUGGGGAGCAAACAGG